AGGCAUAAUACAGCCGCCGGUUGCCCUUCGGGGCCGAAGAGGGAACACAGUGCCACUGUGGCUGCCCCCGCAACUGUAUGCAGCGAGUCCGCCUGCGCUUCACGCCACUGGUUCGACCGGGAAGGCCGCAGCGGACCAUGACCUGCCAGCCAGGAGACCUGCCGGCGAGACUGUUCGUGCC
rnacentral:ncRNA from 19 species